rnacentral:tRNA from 1 species
GUCUCUGUGGCCGAGAGGUUAGGCAGCGGCCUGCAAAGCCGUCGACGCCGGUUCAAGUCCGGCCGGAGACUCCA